rnacentral:piRNA from 1 species
UCCUGGAAGGUGAUGCCAAUAUGCUGGA